rnacentral:rRNA from 1 species
CCUACGGGUGGCAGCAGUGGGGAAUAUUGGUCAAUGGGCUUACGCCUGAACCAGCCAAGUCGCGUGAGGGAAGACUGCCCUAUGGGUUGUAAACCUCUUUUGUCAGGGAGCAAUUGGCGCUACGUGUAGCGUUCUCGAGAGUACCUGAAGGACAAGCAUCGGCUAACUCCGUGCCAGCAGACGCGGUAAUACGGAGGAUGCGAGCGUUAUCCGGAUGUAUUGGGUUUAAAGGGUGCGUAGGCGGAAUGCCAAGUCAGCGGUAAAAUGGCGGGGCUCAACCUCACCCCGCCGUUGAAACUGGCGUUGUGGAGUGCGCGAGAGGUAUGCGGAAUGCGUGGUGUAGCGGUGAAAUGCAUAGAUAUCACGCAGAACUCCGGUUGCGAAGGCAGCAUACCGGAGCGCAACUGACGCUGAAGCACGAAAGCGUGGGUAUCGAACAGGAUUAGAUACCCCAGUAGUC